rnacentral:tRNA from 1 species
AGCAAUUUGGCGCAGUGGAAGCGCGGUAAGUCGAUUCUGACUCAUAACCCGGAGGUCCUACGAUCGAAACGUAGAAUUGCUA